UACGUAGGUGGCAAGCGUUACUCGGAAUCACUAGGCGUAAAGCGCAGGUAGGCGGUUUGAUAAGUCUGUUGUGAAAGCUCCCGGCUUAACUGGGAGAGGUCAACGAAAAACUAUCAGGCUAGAGUGUGGUAGAGGUAGCUGGAAUUCCCGGUGUAGCGGUGAAAUGCGUAGAUAUCGGGAGGAAUACCUAUGGCGAAAGCAGGCUACUGGACCAUCACUGACGCUGAUCUGCGAAAGCUAGGGGAGCAAACAG
rnacentral:rRNA from 1 species